ACGUUCGGAUUGUAGUCUGNAACCCGACUACAUGAAGCUGGAAUCGCUAGUAAUCGCGGAUCAGAAUGCCGCGGUGAAUACGUUCCCGGGUCUUGUACACACCGCCCGUUACACCAUGGGAGUCGGAAAUGCCCGAAGUCUGUGACCCAACCUGAGAGGGAGGGAGCAGCCGAAGGCAGGUCUGAUGACUGGGGUGAAGUCGUAACAAGGUAUC
rnacentral:rRNA from 1 species